UUAACGAAUUGUCAACACGAGUUGUUGCUGGCCCUCAAACGGGGGCAUGUGCACGCUCUGUUUGCAUCCACUCACACCUGUGCACCCUCUGUAGUUCUACGGUCUGGGAGACCCNGUCUUCCUUCUGUGGUUCUGCGUCUUUACACACACACUGUAACAUGGUCUUAUGGAAUGUAUGCAGCGUUUAACGCAAUAUAAUACAACUUUCAGCAACGGAUCUCNUGGCUCUCGCAUCGAUGAAGAACGCAGCGAAAUGCGAUACGUAAUGUGAAUUGCAGAAUUCAGUGAAUCUGCAUCGAUGAAGAACGCAGCGAAAUGCGAUAAGUAAUGUGAAUUGCAGAAUUCAGUGAAUCAUCGAAUCUNUGAACGCACCUUGCGCCCUUUGGCUAUUCCGAAGGGCAUGCCUGUUUGAGUAUCGUGAACAUCUCAACUCUCAUGGUUUGCCAUGAUGAGCUUGGACUUUGGAGGUUUNGCUGGCUCAUGGUCUGCUCNUCUCAAAUGAAUUAGCUUACCGGUGUACGGUGACGCCACAGGUGUGAUAACUAUCUGCGCUUGUGGUUGUAUGCCAGAUAACCUUCAGCACUGGAGGUUUUNUGGGGGCUUACAAACGUCUCUCCUCAGUGAAGACAGCUUUUGAACGUUUGAUCUCAAAUCAGGUAGGACUACCCGCUGAACUUAAGCAUAUCAAUAAGCGGAGGAAAAGAAACUAACAAGGAUUCCCCUAGUAACUGCGAGUGAAGCGGGAAGAG
rnacentral:rRNA from 1 species